rnacentral:rRNA from 1 species
UAGCNAAUNAAGGCGGACGGCUCUUNCCACGCGUANUCAACCUACCCUAUGGACGGGAAUAACCUCGGGAAACUGAGUAUAAUGCCCGAUAGAACACUAUACCUGGAAUGGUUUGUGUUCCAAAUGAUUUAUCGCCAUAGGAUGGGACUGCGGCCUAUCAGGUUGUUGGUGAGGUAAUGGCCCACCAAGACUAUUACAGGUACGGGCUCUGAGAGGAGUGGCCCGGAGAUGGGUACUGAGACACGGACCCAGGCCCUAUGGGGCGCAGCAGGCNAGAAAACUUUGCAAUGUGCGAAAGCACGACAAGGUUAAUCCGAGUGGUUUCUGCUAAAGGAACCUUUUGUUAGUCCUAGAAACACUGAUGAAUANGGGGUGGGCAAGUUCUGGANGUCAGCCGCCGCGGUUAAACCAGCCACCUCANGUGGUCAGGAUGAUUAUUGGGCCCUAAANGCAUCCGUAACCC